UGGGGUUCCCGCUCCGGUGAGGGUCUGAGGCUGGGCGGCUCUGACCAGGAGCAGCGCUUGGCCGUGGAGUGAGUGACGGGGAGCGGCUGUGGGUGCAGGUCUCCCAGAACGUGGAUCACUUUCAACGACAGAUUCUCGAAUGUCUUCGAAGUGUUUGCGCCGCUGUGAGGAGGGGGCUCUGUGGAUAGCGCGUGCUCUGGCACAGUCUUCAGAAAUUCAAAGAAAAGGAUGAACAUAAAAUAUCCCAUCUCAGGUAGAAGUGGAAGUGGAAGUCUCUAAAUCCCAAAAGAGCACCUCCAGCCAAGCAAGCAAGAGAAUAGUUUUUGCUCUUAUCCCACACAAUUCUGAUCCACCUGGGAGCCCAGUGGACAUCAGUCCACGAGUGGAUUCUUACAUUGAUUAUGACUCCAACCGGCUGUGACUUUAUUUUGAUACAGUUAUAUUAAAUAAACAUAUUUUUAUACUCUAA